GGCCUUGUAGUUCAACGGAUAGAAUAGAAGUUUCCUAAACUUUAGAUAGGGGUUCGAUUCCCCUCGAGGCUACCA
rnacentral:tRNA from 5 species